rnacentral:rRNA from 1 species
CUGGCUGUGUGCUAAUACUGCAUGUCGAACUACGCACUUGUGCUUAGUGGCAAAUGGGUGAGUAACACGUACUUAAUCUACCCCCAAGUUUGGGAUAACAGUUGGAAACAAUUGCUAAUACCAAAUACAUAUAAGUUUUGCAUAAUUCUUAUAUAAAAGGAGCGUUUGUUUCGCUAGGGGAUGAGAGUGCGCUACAUUAGUUAGUUGGUAGGGUAAGAGCCUACCAAGACUAUGAUGUAUAGCGGGGCUGAGAAGCUGAACCGCCACACUGGGACUGAGAUACGGCCCAGACUCCUACGGGAGGCAGCAGUAGGGAAUAUUCCACAAUGAGCGAAAGCUUGAUGGAGCAACACAGCGUGCAGGAAGACGACCUUAGGGCUGUAAACUGCUGUUAUGAGGGAAGAAAAAUAAAAUUAGGAAAUGAAUUUUACAUGACGGUACCUCAUCAGAAAGCACCGGCAAACUAUGUGCCAGCAGCCGCGGUAAUACAUAGGGUGCAAGCGUUAUCCGGAAUUAUUGGGCGUAAAGUGUCUGUAGGUGGUAUGUUAAGUCUAGUGUUAAAGACUAGGGCCCAACCCUAGCACGCUUCUAGAUACUGACAUGCUAGAGUCAUAGAGACGUUAGCGGAACUCCUAGUGAAGCGGUGAAAUGCGUAGAUAUU